rnacentral:lncRNA from 1 species
CCCCGCACCCCCUUUGUCUCGCUCGAUCCCGCACACCCUCUCCCCGCAGCUGCUUCCCGAGGGCCUCGCUCGCUCGGUACGCGACCGCGGCGGUGCGGGAGAGCGGGUAAGAGCGACGCGGGGGAGGGUGGAGGGUGUGGGAGACCGCGGGGCACUCGCACCCAGGGACCGGCGGCGAGCCCCACACACCCCGGGCACACCCGCACGUACCACCUCCGCCCUCGCGCGCGCCGCCGGGCGGCGUCGGGCGCUCCGCUACUUCCCGAGGGAGUCUGCUCGUGGCCGCGCGCGCGCGUGCACGGCCCAGCCGUCCCGCAAGCCCAGUCACCCACACGCGGCGCCACUCGCGCCUCAGCCGGGGCCGCGGCGGGGAGACCCCGAGCCUCGCGCGCGCCACCCCGCCUUCCAGGCGCCUAUGGGAGCGACGCUGCACCAGCGGGAGCCAAUCGUGGCGCGCGAGGGGCGGGGCAGGCCGGCGAGCCUUUAAAAGCACGCGCUUCAGCUCCGCCCCGACGCGUGAGCGGCUGUCAAGACGCCGGGCUCGCGCUCGCAGCACGCGUGCCGCAGCCGCCGGGCACGCCGAGGAGCCGCUCUGCGCGCGGGUGGCGGGCUGCGGGCCCCGGCGCGAGGCUGGGAGGCGGGGGCCUGCUCGCCGACCCUCGCCCGGAGCCAAGCGUUAAGGGCCGGAUUCCUGGUCGCUCAGGCCGGGGAUGCGCCGGCACCCGGCCCGGAGCCUGGGAGGGGUCCUUUGUCCUGACGGCCUCCCCCGCUCUGAGCAGGGGCUCUGCGCGUCCGAUAGCCUUCUCGGGGCGACCUCGGCGCCGCGUCGCGCCCACCUCAGGCACGGGGGACCAGGGCGGGUGUGGCCGGGGCCGCUCCGCCUGCCCUCCGGCCUCCUUGCGGGCGGCUCCCGGCUGCCGCCUGCGUCGUGUGGCGGUCACCGCCCUCUGCAACAGUGUGCCCAGCGUUUGCGGUGAGAGCCCGCGUGACUGCGGUCCCUGUGGGACCAGGCACGGCGCUGUGCAAACGACAGGCUCGCAUCCGCUGAUCCCGCGUUUCAGCUGA